rnacentral:misc_RNA from 1 species
CGAAGCUCAGGCACCCGCCUCAUUCUCCCGUCAUACAACAGAUUUUAUUCCCUUAUUCCUCGUAGGUACCCGACUCACUCUUAUUCGAAAUAGGUAUAGAGGUAUAGGUAUAGGUGACGAUAUACCGUGUUUAUUUAUACGUGCGUUAUUUCUAUCCCUGUGUACUACGCCCUGUGUACGAUAAAUAAUAUAUAUCGCCGGAUAUAUAUUUCGAGUUUCAUUUUUCACCGUCGUAACGUAUUUUCGAAAAAUCGAUGCUCGGUUAGCGGUAUGAAAGA